UACGUAGGUGGCAAGCGUUGUCCGGAGUUAUUGGGCGUAAAGCGCGCGCAGGCGGUGCGGUAAGUCUCUGGUGAAAGCGCUCGGCUUAACUGGGCGAGGGCCGGGGAGACUGCCACGCUGGAGGGGAGCAGAGGCGAGUGGAAUUCCGGGUGUAGUGGUGAAAUGCGUAGAGAGUCCGGAGGAACACCAGUGGCGAAGGCGGC
rnacentral:rRNA from 1 species